AAGUCGUAACAAGGUUUCCGUAGGUGAACCUGCGGAAGGAUCAUUAAACAAUUUAUUUUAUCCAUAUGGAUGAUUUAAAAAAUCCAUAUCCACCCUUGUGUGAAUUCACUGAAAAGUUUUACUUCGGCAGUGUUUUUGAUAUAGAAAAAUUUAAAGUAGUUUUUAAUUAUUUUAUUUUUUGUUAUUUUCAUACCUGCCGAAAGUAUUUUUUAAACUUUCAUCACUCUUCCAAAAUUUUUAAAUCUUAUUUUACGAAAUUUUUAAUAUUUCAACCAAAAUUAAAUACAACUUUCAACAACG
rnacentral:misc_RNA from 1 species